GGAGGAUGGCUCAGUGGUAGAGUGCUUGCCUUGCAUGCAUGAGGCCCUGGGUUCGAUUCCUCAGCACCA
rfam:Dipodomys ordii contig_57615, whole genome shotgun sequence.